CGCAGUCCCCCAGGCCGCCCGGCACGAGAGGAAAGCUGCCACUCCCCCGGCGAGUGGUGGUCGCCUCGGGCAAGGUCCCUCGAUGGCUCCGCUCAACCGCUCGCUUCGGAGGUUUACGGUUUAGGCACUCGAUUUGUUCCAGACAUCCGUUGAGUGGCCGGGUUCUGUACUUCAGGCCAGCUUGAUGACUUCCCUUGUGUAUGUUUGUGCUCUCCCGCAUUUUUGACAGGCAGCAUUUCUGAUGUUCCUCAACUGCUGCAUACUGUUCCCUUGGUCGAUUUCGUCGUAUUCCGCGGGUGAUGUUGAUUUUUUGUCUUCUCGUUUGGAGGUGAAGUACCAGAACGUCUUAUAUUUUGGAACCGAGCUAGUAUUUCUUAAUUAAUAGCUUGUGUUGAUGAAUUAAUGCAUACAAGGAAUCUACCUUUUCUGCCUUGCAAA